AAUAGUGGCCAUAUCACCUUGUCACUGCUUGACCUCAUCUGAUCUCAGAAGCUAAGCAAGUUGGGCCUGGUCAGUGUUUGGAUGAGAGACUGCUGGGAAUAUCAGGUGCCACAGCGG
rnacentral:rRNA from 1 species